GCGCGCGAGGGAGCACUCUCCCCUGAGUGCUUCCUCUUCAGCUCCCUUGCGCGCCGCGUACUGAUGCUGGAGCCGGAAGAUGAAGUUUUCCGGCUCCAGUAUCAGUGCGGUGUGUGAGGGAGCUGAAGAGGGAGCACACAGGGGAGAGUGCUCCCUCGCGCGC